UGAUUCUUAGGGAUGGUUUUAAUUGUAGUAUCAUUUAACCACAUUAGUUAUUUUAAUUAGAAAAGUGAUAUAAAUUUGAGAAAUAGAAUCAAGAAGAGAAAAAAUGUUCCUUAUUGCCGCAGUCUGGCUGGGCACAAAUGCCACAGUCUGGCUGGGUACAAAUGCCGCAGUCUGGCUGGGCACAGCGGGCACACAAUCAGGAGCCACCACACAGCUUGUAGAUUCAAACAGCAACUCUUUAUUCCCGAACUCACACCAGCCAUCUACAAUCACAUUCUGGGGAAAUCCACGUUCUCUGCCCAAAUCCAC
rnacentral:lncRNA from 1 species